CCUACGGGAGGCAGCAGUGAGGAAUAUUGGUCAAUGGGCGAGAGCCUGAACCAGCCAAGUCGCGUGAAGGAUGACGGCCCUACGGGUUGUAAACUUCUUUUGUCGGGGAGCAACUGGGUCCACGCGUGGGCUUAGCGAGAGUACCUGAAGAAAAAGCAUCGGCUAACUCCGUGCCAGCAGCCGCGGUAAUACGGAGGAUGCGAGCGUUAUCCGGAUUUAUUGGGUUAAAAGGGUGCGUAGGCGGAAUGUCAAGUCAGCGGGAAAAAUUCGGGGCUCAACCCCGUCGUGCCGUUGAAACUGAGGUUCUUGAGUGUGCGAGAGGUAGGCGGAAUGCGUGGUGUAGCGGUGAAAUGCGUAGAUAUUACGCAGAACUCCGAUGGCGAAGGCAGCAUACCGGAGCCCAACUGACGCUGAAGCACGAAAGCGUGGGUAGCGAACAGGAUUAGAUACCCCUGUAGUC
rnacentral:rRNA from 1 species